rnacentral:tRNA from 1 species
GGUUCGGUAGCUCAGUUGGCUAGAGCGAGGGAUUCAUAACCCCUAGGUCGGUGGUUCGAUCCCACCCCGAACCA